GGAUGUGAGGGCGAUCUGGCUGCGACAUUCAUCAUCCCAAUGAUCGCCAGGGUUGAUUUGGCUGAUCUGGCUGGUUAGGCGGGUAUCUCCCUCUUCCCUCACAGAUCCAUGUGCGUCCCUCCCUAAGAUCGUAAGGACGACCUUCCUCCUAGAGGAGAGGACCUGUCUUUGGUCAAGGGUAUACGAGUAGCUGUGCCCCCCCUGCUAGAACCUCCAAACAAGCUCUCAAGGUCCAAGACUCCAGACACAUCCAAAUGAGGUGCUGCACAUGGCAGUCUUUCUUU
rnacentral:snRNA from 1 species